GGUUUGAUUACAAAAUUGCAAAAAAUUCAAUGACCGUUUACAUUGAAGCGCUAUUCACUGUCUUCAACAGUUGUGAGUCUGUGACAGUAAAGGGCAGGAGACGUUAGCAGCAAUAAUGGAGCCAUUUUCAAAUCAAGGGGCGCAAAUCGCGGCUGACAUCCCUCGCCACCAUGAUUCACGCCCGCUUACCAUAAACGCCUGCGUCCUCUCGCUAUAAAAGCCAGAGGAGGAGCCGAACACCAGGGGACAUAAAAAAAAGGAGAGAAAAGAAACGAGAGAGGAGAGGUGACAGCGAGGAGAAAAAACAGGAGGGAGACAACUUAGGAGAUCGUUAAAAAACUGAGGGAGUGGAGAAAUACUGAGAAGGCAUAAGGGAGAGAAAGAGGAAGGAGAAAAAAAAGCAAACCGAACGGAAGCAGAGGACACGGUGAAGCAGAGAACAUAGCACCACCAUCGUCUUCGUCUUCUCAAAACCAGGAGAUUGAAACGCAAAGGAAGGUUGCACGAAGAGAUAGAAACAGAAAAGCAAGGAGAAACCGAGCGGCGGAGCAAAGCUCACAGACAGCAGGGGAGGUCAGCACCACCAUCGCUUUCCUUUCUCCAGUUUGGAGAUUCACACUGCCCCUCCUCUUCCUUUUAAAUCUGUCGAGUCAGCGAGAGGCUUACUAAGCAAGAUUGCAGCAGGGAAGACGGUUCGACCAUGGACGGACAAGUUUGAUCGAAGCAUUUUCCCUCAUCGGCGCUCAUGAGCAGUGAGAGUAGUCAGACAUUGCGAGCCAUGCCUUUAAGAACCACAGGUUGAGCUAAUGCUUCUCGCCUCUGCAUGCUUGUUCGUGAGCGUAGUCAACUACUCUGUUGUGGAAUAUAUUUUUAUUUAUUUUUUUGUAUUUUAAAAGUGUUUUUUAAAAAAGUUAAAUUAAAUUUUAUUUUAAAUUAAUAUUUUUUUGAUGUUUUUAAA